UAAGAAAUCCAAAUAGAGACAGUACUACUAUUUGAUAUAAUGUAAAUGAAGAGAUUUUAAAAUGUUUAUUUAUUUAUAAAUAUAUUUAUGUAAAAUAAGUAAAUAAAUAAAAUUUUUAUAAAGUUUAUUUAUUUGAAAGAGAGAGCAUGCGAGCAAGUGGGGGAGGGGCAGAAAGUGCGGAACCUGACAUGGGGCUUGAACCCACAAACCACAAGAUCAUGAACUGAGCCGAAGUUGGAUGCAAACUGACUGAGCCACCCAGGCACCCCAAUAAAAAAUAUUUUUAUGUUGCUGAACUCACAUUUUAAUAAACCAGUGUAAUGACAAUUUACCUUUUAUAACCAAUUCAUUUUGUAGUAAGCUUCAUUGGCAGGCAAACUUGUUAUGUAGUAGAAUUUCAUUGUAUUUAUUACACUUAUUUUUUACACAUAAUAAAUACCCCAGUUAAAUUCACAUCCUAAGAUGCAAAAGCUGGGUAUAUUUGCAGAUGAAAUAUAAUCUGGGAAAGACAAUGUGGCAGUGAUUGGCUACUUGUUCACCAAAGCUAUUUUCCUUUUCCUAAGCUAAGACAGCUUAGACUACAUUUCCUCGCCUCCUCUGCAGUUAGAUGUAGCUAUAUGACUGUGUCUGGGCAAAGGAAGGAGAGUAAAAGUGAUAGGCAUUCCUUCCUUUGGUCUAUCUGCUUAAAAGAAAUCCCCCAAAGAGUCUUCAUGCUCUCUCUCUACCCCUUGUGCCAGCUGGAUAUUGGCACCGGAAGGGACCGUGGAAACUACAUGUUAAAGGUGAUAAAGUCUCCAUCAGGAAGAGUUCCUAAAUGAUUACAUAGUUCAGAGGCCCCAACACCACCCUCCUGCUACCUACGCUUUGCAUGAUCAAAAAAUGAAUUUCUGGGGGUGCCUGGGUGGCUCAGUUGGUUAAGCAUCUGACUUGUUUUUGGCUCAGGUCAUGAUCUCAGGUGCUCUGUGCUGACCGUGUGGAACCUGCUUGGGAUUCUCUCCCUCCUUCUCUCUCUCCCUGUCUCCAGCUCACACACACUCUCUCUCCAAAUAAACAAAUAAACUUAAAAAAAAAAAAAAGGAUUGUAUUUCAAAUCCUCAGGAUUCUGUGAUUUAACUAUUUCAGCAGCUCACAUCACAUUAAAAGAUGUUAAUUUUCCUUCAAGGUAAUACCAAGGACCUAGUAUCAUUCCCAUUCAUUUCUUAUUUUUCUUCCAUGUAUGUUUGCUGCCAUAAGUGACCAGGCAAUUUGAGUAGAUCACAAUAUUAGGAGGUUUGUAAAGGGGUGAGGAGAUUGAAGAUGCUUGAGGUAGGAGAAAGGAUUUGAAGGAUAUAAUUGCUUCCUCUUCUCCACAUAAGGUAACCAUCACUCCCCCUCUGCCUGGCCCAGUCCUUCAUUUCAAAGAUUCACACUCCUGCAAGCUGCUUUUUUCCCACCUGCUGAUGGCAUCCCCGUUGCAAAGCAGAGUUGGUGAAAACCUUGAUCAGCAUUCCCUUCUUGCCUAACUUAACGUUCACAUAUCAUCAAACGUACAUGCUGAGAUGCAAAAUAACCAUAACAUUAAAACUGAGAAAUAGGUCUUCUUUUUUAUGGGUAUGAUAAUAGAUGUCAGAGGAUCUCUCAUGGUGAACACUUUUGGGAGACAUGCAAAAUGUGUCAGAAGAUGUGCCCAUCUCUGACAGGACAUGUUGAAAUCAGACCAUACCCUUUGGGGGGCGCCUGGGUGGCUCAGUCGGUUGAGUGUCCAACUUUGGCUCAGGUCAUGAUCUCACAGCUCGUGAGUUCAAGCCCUGCAUCGGGCUCUGUGCUGACAGCUCAGAGCCUGGAGCCUGCUUCGGAUUCUGUGUCUCCCUCUCUCUCUCUCUGCCCCUAACCCACUCGCAUUCUGUCUGUCUCUCUCAAAAAUAAAUAAACAUUAAAAAAAAAAAAAAAAAGGAACAUACCCCUUGGAAUCUUUGGCCAAUAGAUUCACCAAUGAGAGCUACUCCUACAUUGUUUUCUUAUUGCUUAUUUCUCAGUCUAUUUGCCUUGCUAGACUUUCAUGAUUCCUUCUCUUGAGGAAAGGUAGAAAGUAAAUUCACUUCCCUAUGCUGAAUGUCCAGUGUAGUUUCUGGCACAUCAGUGUUCUCAGUGCCUGGUAACUUCUUGAUUGAGAACCAGAUGACUGCUGGAAGAAGCAUGGUAUGUGUCUGACUGACAUGAACAAUGCUCCUUGUAUGCAUUUUCUGCAUUAUUUCUUUUUAUCUACAUCAGCAGUCUGCCUUUAAGGUAUAGGUCACUAUCUGGCAAUUGUAGGUAUUUUUUAAUGAAAAGCCUCAUUAUGAUAAUGUUUGUGGUAUAAGGAAUUUAUCUAAAUUUAUAUCCCUCUGAUGAAUAUAUCUUCAGUUGAGUACUCUCAACAAAACUAUUAGAUUAUUCUUACGAUGGGUAGAGUUUAUAAUUUUGCAAGGAUUAGGCAAAUAGCACACACACAGGAACAGAUUGGGCACAUGCCCCUUCCCCGCCCCCCCCCCCACAAGAGCUUUAAAGCAGUACAUUCUGCUCUAUGGAUGAUUGCCUCCUCUGUAAUUCAGUGGCAUAUGGCUAGGCUUGGGCAAGCAGGUGUCUGUACCUAAUCUGGCAUGUAUUGUCUCAGUUCAGGUGCUCAGCCAGGCUGAUGUUUACAGCUGCGCUGUGGUUGAAAUUCUAGAGCCAUAGCAGUUUACUCUGAAUCCAAUGUACCUCUAGUCUAAAAUGUGGCAUUGUUGGCUUCUGGAAUUAUUUUCUAGUCUAUAAGAUGAUAGUAAAACUUAUUCUCACAGGGACUGUGAUAAGCAAAGUGAAGUUCAGUUCUAAAUUGUCAUAAAUGAAGUUAAAAAAGCUUUUUGUCUGUGUGGUGUUAGAUGGCAGAAAUGUUAUUAUAAGUAAGCCCCAAUUUCUUCUAGACACACUAUUGCCUAGCUGUAGUGAAUUGAUGAUUCCUUCAUAGAAGUAGGUAUAUCAAUCCUUUGACCCCCUUGGAAAACUAGCAGUACAUUCUAUUGGAUAAAACUCUUUCCACGGAAUUUCUAGCUGGCUAGAUUAAAUUUGCCUUUGGUGGUAUAGCAUAUGGACUUGUAUCUUGAUAGUGAUUCCAUUUAAAUAUAUAGGAAAAGCUUGAAAUGUGAUAAAUUAUCUAUCUAUUUUACACAACUAAUCCUUCUUGGAAAUCACAGAAAACCUGGGAUAAAAUGCAUGAUGUUGGUAAUCAGAACUGAGGAAAGCUUAACCACUGUAAUAGUCAGGCCAAAUCUAGGAAUAUCUGUAUAUCCACAGUCCUUUUUUUCCUUAGGGAUCCUACCUAUAUCCUAUCUGCCUGAGGAUAUCAACUCAAGACAGAACUCUAGGUGGCCUUGACCUAAAUUGCUUGACCUUACCAUCUGCAUUUGACCUAAAGCAGUCAGGCUUUUUUGGAAUCUGACCCAUUAAAUGACCUGGUACAAGUACUUUAUAUCCAACUCAUGAUGGUGACAUAAUGGACUGAUCAGAUCCUCUCUUUUAGGAAAUUUUAAAUUCAAGGUAGAGAGAAUUAUUUGAUAGGGACAGAAGUCAAAUACUUAGCCAGAAAAAAAGGUAGACAAAGAUGAGUCAGUAGAAGCUGUGAGUAAGCAAGAGUGAUAAAUAAGUAAAAGCUAAGUCAUGAAAUUUUCAAAAAGUGUGUGCGUAGGCCUACAGAUAUUUUACUUCAUAUCUGCAGGGGAAGAGGAUGAUCAACAGAUUACCACUGCGAGAGGCAUAAGGAACUAACCAAAUUUCUGCACAUCUGUCUAAUCCUGGGCAACUUGAAAUCACAACUUGAAAUCCUCAGUCUGUGUUCCUAUACUUUGCAUGAAGCCCAGUGAAGCUGCUUUCCAUGAAUUACCAUGAGGCCCAGCCACACGGCAUACCUUGUUCCUUAUUUUCAUGUGGAGCCUAUGAUAAUGCCCCCUCUGACCCUCCUCCCUCACACACACAACCUCACAGUUACUGGAGAUAACUUGAGUCAGUCUCUGUUCUUUGUAGCCAAAGGAUCCUAAUUUACACACCUGCUCUGUGAGUUCAUCUCUUAUUAUGUUGGCUGUGCAACCAAGGCAAGGGCUGAUGCACGAUAGCAAUUUCAUGCCCACGUUGAAAGUGUACAGACUUUGAAUAGGAAAGGCAGUUCACCUCUAAUUGUUUAAGAAAGUUGACGGGGUACAGGGAGGGCCCAGAGAAAGAUGGGUAACACUGAUGCCAUGACAUUUGAGGACACUACAUGGAAAUGUGCAUUUAGUGGGGAAAAAAAAGCGUAGGAACAAUAUUUUUUUUUUUGCUCCCUGCUAAAUUAUGAGUUCCUGAGGCAUUCUUCUCGAUGUGCCUCACCAAUGCCUGGGAAGGGGCUUUGCACACAGCAGGUGGAGCACUAAAUUGGUCACAUGAUGUGGCCCAGCCAUUGGUUUGUUUAGUAUCGGCUUUGAAUUGGCUGGUAAAAAUAUACUUGUAGGCAGACUAAACUGUUAACUGAAGAGACAGACAUGAAUCAGAGACAAGAGUAGGAUUUCCAGAAGCUUCUGGGAGAGGUAGAUAUAGACAGUGCAAAAUAGUCUAGAAACUAGAGGAGCUAAUUUCAAAGAGCCAGAUAAGAAACUGCCUUCCUCAUUCAGGGUACAAAGGACCAGAACAUACUGUUAUCGGGAACAUCUGCAGCCCACAGUACAGCGUAGCCUUUGGCCAGAGAGCAUGAUGUAAGGAAUGGGUAGUGGAGGAGAACUGGCAAAACACAAAUUCUGGAUUCUAGUUUUAAAAUGACAGAGCAUAUAUGGCAUUAUCUUCCUUGUCUCUCACAAAGCAUACAACUGCACUAGGAAAACAAAAAGAAAAAACAUGAGCCCCACCUUUAAAGAAACUAGACGUGCAGCCCCAAACCACAGUAUGCAAUGAGGAAGAGACAAAGCCAGUUGAAGAAAGAUAACCACAGCUGCACAUCCCACACAAACCAGUAAUGCCCAGUUGAGACUAAUGGGAGCCAGGGUGCGGGCUGGCAGCAAGAGCUUCCUUGGCCCUGAUUAGGCAGAAAGAGGAAGCAGGGUAAUGCGCUGAAGGGAGAAUCACACGGAAAAGAUUGAAAACACAGGCAAAAGCUUACCAGGAAAACACAAACACUAGAGUAAGAUUGCAUCUUUAACAUCAGACAUGAUUGGAUUUGGAGGAAAAAGCUUUAAAUAAGGCAAAGAAGGAUGAUUCAUAAUAGCAGUAUACUACCACCAUCUAUAAGGAAAACCAACAGGAAAUACGAAAUUUCCUACAGGAAAUACUUACAUGAUUGUGGUAGGAAAAUAUUAAUUCACUUCUCUUAGUCCAGGAGAUCAGGUAGACAAGAGAUAAGAAAAAGAAAACCCAAAUAAAAAUAAUAAAUAAAGCAAAUAUUUGGUAUUUGCCACUUUGUGUUCUGAAAGGUAAGAAUAGACCUUUUUAGAUGCUGAAUAAAACAUUCACAAAAAUAGCUCAGAAAGGAAAUUGAAUGAAUUUCAAAAGGUGAAAGGAAGGCAUACAGCAUUCUCUAAUCUUAUUGCAAUAAAACUAAAAGUUAAGGAUGUUCUAAUUUAUCAUUUGAACAUUUAAAAAUGUUUAUUUAAAUAACUCUUGGAUCACAGAGGAAACCAAAGAGGUUAUAGAAAAUCUAGGGAAAAAAGCACAGUGAAAACACAUCAUUCUCAGAACCCAUGGGACACAGUGAAAGCAGAAUUCAGAAGCACCUCUCUUACUGAAGAAAGAAAGAAAAUGAACAUCUAACUCAAAAAGUUAGAAAAAUGAUCAACAAACCUUAAACAGCAGAAGGUAGGAAUAAAGAUAAAAGUUAAUGGACUGGAAAAAGGAAAAUUGAUCAGACUAAUAAAUAAAAGAGACAGUUAUUUAAAAUAAAUAGGUAAAUCUUUAGCUAACCUAAUAAAAUUAGAAAGUGGGAGGGGAAGAUAGCAUAGAUGAGAAAUAAACAUGGGGAAAUGGUAGAAACAGAAAAGAAUAAAAGAAUCAAACUAUUUUGCUCAAUCCUGUACAAAUUGGGAACCUGCAAGAAAGGAUGAUUUUUCAAGGAAAACAGAAAUGAUCAAUACUCAUCUCAGAUAAUUAGAAAAUCUAAACUAUCACAGAAUAACUUCCACCCCAACCCCCAGCCCCCUCCAGAAAAGCCUGAGUGAGGCCCAGGUGAUUUAAUAGGUGGCUGCUAUCAAUUUCUCAGGAACAGAUGAGGCCAAUCUUCCCAAAUAUAUGUGCUUUAAUAAGUAUGGAGAUCUCUGAGAAGAGACAAAAAUUCCCAAACAGUUGUUAGCCCUAGGGAAUGGAGGUAGGACUAAGGGACAGUAUUGGAAGCAAGUCUUAACUUUUUUCUACCUGUCUUUUGUGUCUUUCUAUUCUAUGCCAUAUGUGUAUAUUACUUACCCAAGUGCGAGGAAUUUAGAAUAUAUUUGUUUCACGUUUGGACAAGUUCACAAAACCAUUUGGCUUUUGUUAUUUUGUUCGGUUUACCUUGAUUUUUUUGGUAGGUAAACAUGUUUAAAUGGCCUCCCUACAGAUGUCCCACCCUAAUCCUGAGAACCUGUGGAUAUGAUGAGAUCUGACUUCUGUGAUUAUGUUCCAUAUCACAGUUGACCUCAACAUAAGGAGAUUAUCUUGGGUUAUCUGAGUGAAGCUGACCUAACCGUGUGAGAGCUUCCUUUGGCGGAUGGCAGAGGGCAGUCAAGGAGAUAGGAAGUAUUGGAAGGUGUGACUGUGCAGUUGUGGCUUGAAGAUGGAGGAGAUCAGGGGAAGGAAUGCAGGUGGUUCUGAGGAGCUGAGGGCAGCCCCCCCACCCCCCCGGCCCCCAGGUGAUAGCCGUAAAGGAAACACUACUUCAUUAGGGACUUAGAGACAGGAGCCAUGUUCCCUCCAGUGGGACACAGUGGGAUGGUGCAGAGCAGCCUGAGAGCCAGCGGCAGGGGGCCUCGCACCUCGUCAGGGGCUGCAUUGUCUCAUUCAGUGCAAUAUACUCUGCUGUAUUUUCAUUGUUUUCUCCAGUUGUGCAGAAGUCCCAUUUUAUUAUCUUAAUGAAGAGAAUAAAUUUUUUAUACCUGUCUUGUUUUUGUUUGUCCUUGUUCAAAUUAUAGUAUUAAAAAUCAUUUUGGGGCGCGUCUAGGUGGUUCCGUUGAGCAUCCGACUCUUGAUUUCGGCUCAAGUCAUGAUCUCACGGUUCUGGGAUGGAGCCCCAACAAGAAACCUGUUUGGGAUUCUCUCCCUCUCUCCCUCUGCCACUGUCCCACUUACUCAAGCAUGCUCUCUCUCUCUCUCUCUCUCUCUCUCACU